rnacentral:rRNA from 1 species
UACGUAGGGUGCGAGCGUUGUCCGGAAUUAUUGGGCGUAAAGAGCUUGUAGGCGGUUUUGUCGCGUCUGCUGUGAAAAUCCGGGGCUCAACCCCGGACUUGCAGUGGGUACGGGCAGACUAGAGUGUGGUAGGGGGAGACUGGAAUUCCUGGUGUAGCGGUGGAAUGCGCAGAUAUCAGGAGGAACACCGAUGGCGAAGGCAGGUCUCUGGGCCACUACUGACGCUGAGAAGCGAAAGCAUGGGGGAGCGAACAGG